rnacentral:rRNA from 1 species
UCGGGAAUUUUGGGCAAUGGGCGAAAGCCUGACCCAGCAACGCCGCGUGAGGGAUGAAGUAUUUCGGUAUGUAAACCUCGAAAGAAUGGGAAGAAUAAAUGACGGUACCAUUUAUAAGCUCCGGCUAACUACGUGCCAGCAGCCGCGGUAAUACGUAGGGAGCAAGCGUUGUUCGGAUUUACUGGGCGUAAAGGGCGCGUAGGCGGCGCGGUAAGUCACUUGUGAAAUCUCUGAGCUUAACUCAGAACGGCCAAGUGAUACUGCUGUGCUAGAGUGCGGAAGAGGCAACCGGAAUUCUUGGUGUAGCGGUGAAAUGCGUAGAUAUCAAGAGGAACACCUGAGGCGAAGGCGGGUUGCUGGGCCGACACUGACGCUGAUGCGCGAAAGCCAGGGGAGCAAACA